CUCGAACGAAGCAGCGCAAGCCAGAAAAAAAAGGCGACUACCUCUUCCCCGUUUUCCCGUUCAAAGUCAACGUCGUCCUCAACUCCUCUCCUCGCCUCUCGUCACCCGUGUCCACUUCCUCUUACCCCUCGUCGAUCUCCCCACUAAAUCAGCCUCGUCGGCGACGAGCGGUCCGCCGGGAAGUCGCGGGGUUGUCUUCCUGGUGGGUGCGAGCGGUGGAGCAGCCUCUCUGCGGACGCGCCGAUCAACGCGUCCGAGGCGGGCGCUGGGAUUCGACGCAUUUGAGGUGGGGUGGACGGGCUUGGAGGCGGAGGCGAGAGGCCAUCGGCGGCGCGGUGCUGCGUCCAGGCUGCGGUAUACUUCUGUCCUUUUUUGAGCUGCUGGUGCAGAGCAGUACAUCACACCAGUAGUCAAGGUUCUAUGACUAUAAGCUGCCAGGCCGUUGACUGAUCUUGGGAUUUUCUGAACAUCUAGCCUAUAAGUUUUGGAUGGAAUGGAACUGGGCGGAUUAAGCAUACACCAAGAUGGCUUGAGAACUUCCCCAGGAACUAGAGUUUAGAGCAUUAACAACAUCCUGACAGUCACACUCCAUGGUCAUGGGUUGGUUGAGAGUGGCCUCAAUCUUCAUGCUUCAUAGGACAGCCAAGGUUUUAGCUUCUUCUGUUGAUUGGCAUCGCAUAAUAGAGCCGCAAGCAGACAUGAUAAUUUCCCCUGUAUGGUUCCUGGCUAUUGCUCCCAGUGCCCCGUACCAUUUUCAGAAAUGAAGGAGGUGUUGGUGUUGAUUUUCAGCCGACCUGUACUAGUAUUGCUCCAGGAAAUGCAAGAAUUUCUGCCAGUUAUAAUAUGAUCAGUAGUAACACGUUCAGGAAAACAACGUGAUCUUCCCUUUUCCUUUAUGGUUGUGUUCGUUCCAAGCAUUCUUGAUCAAAAUGGUGGUGUUAAGAUAGUUUAUAAUGAACUAAGCUGAGUUAUUGAUCAAAGCAUCACCUAUGCCGAAGAUGGUGUCGUUGCGCAGAUGCCACACCAUCCACCAUAAGAACAAGAGCUUUGAUCUCAUUUCCAUUAUCUGAUUGUCUAAGGAUGACCCAUUCAUCCUCAGUUUUCCCCGCGUCUUCUUCUUUGCGUAGAUGCCAGACCUCACGCAUAGCCUAACGGAGGGCUUGAGCUUUGGUGCAUGACAUGACCGCACAGAGUUCAGGUCAUACAUGUUUCUCCAUACCAUAGUAUGUUUUGAUGCAUUUUUAUAAUGUGCAGCUAUGUGCUCUGAGUUUUUUUCUUGUUAAAAUAGCACUUAGUCGUAUGUUCAAUUUUUGUUGUGAAGCAAAUGUGUUCUUAAAAUAUGCUAUGGAUGUAACAGAUCCACUCAAUCAAUAGUACCAGAUGUAUUUUUUUAUACACGGGGUGUAGGUUUAUAUUUUCCACUUUGAAGGUUUUGAUCAUAAUACACACUGGCUAAUUUUCUGAAUAUCAUGUAGGAUGUAAAUACAUCCUGUUUCGCACGACUGCAUUGUCUUGCCUACACGUAGGAUGUAUAUUUCAUAUUCCUGAGUUUUUUUCAUAAGGAUAUACAAUAUGAUCUUCCAAAAGUUAAUUGGAUGGAACAAACACAUGAAAUCAUUAGUAUUAGAUGUAUUUUUUAAAUGUUGGAUGUAUGUUCUCCUACAUGAACGUUAACAUCAUUACUAUUAUAUGUAUCAAAAUACUAAUAUGUUUUUUGAUUGCUGUUUGUACAAUAGCUGGAUGUAUAUUUCCAUGUUUUAAGAAGUAAUUUGUAUGUAACAAACUAAUAAAAUCAUUAGUACUAGUUGUAGUUUUUUCACAUGAAGAUUUUUUUGAGAAUAAAUGGUUAAUGCAUAAUCCGUAGCAUGUAAAUAUUAGUCAUUAAAUACGCCCUGGUUAAUGAAUAAUCGAUUGGACUUCAUCGUCGCCUUUGAAUCAUAGCCCGAGUGUGUUCCGUGUAGUGUAGUUGUGCUCCUGCUUUUAGUUUUAGCUUGUUGUUUGAUCAGCUUUGCAAGAGGUUCUCCUCAACACCUCUUAUCGUUCGGCCGUGAUGGCUUUAUUAAUUUAAAGUUGGGCUUUAUAGCCUUUUUCUAUCAAAAACUCAACAUGGUAGCUGCCUGAUGCAGACCACUAUUUGAUCGGUUUGAACAUGUGGAUUGAACCCGUAGCUGGGAACUAGUUUGGAUGGGUUUGUGUGGAAAAUUGUUGUAGUUUGGUUGUUUUGGAUCCUAGUAUGCAGCAUUUAGUUUGGUUGGGAUAGGUUGGUACACACUUUGUACAAUUUGGGUUGGAUUUGAUCUGGUUUGAAAGCAUUCCCAGCCGUAACCAUAAGGGAUCAUCUAUUUUUUUUUGCUUCAACUGUAAGUAAAAUUAUGCGUAUGGAUGUAUUAGUAUGCCCUUAUUGUAUCAUAUGAUGUACUUUUAUAUUCCUUGAAGUUUUGGUCAGAUUAAACUGUAGGUUUCUUGUUUAAUUUUUUUAUUCAACAUGAUGUAUUUUCAUAAUAAUAUUGUGCAUACAGGAUGUAUUAUUGUAUCAUAGGAAGUACUUUUGCAUCCCUUAAAGUUUUGUUUCACAUUACACAAUAGGGCUUUUUCCUAAUUAUUUUUUGAUUCAACAUGAUGUAUUUUCUCGUUAAAAAUUUGCAUUAUGGGAUGUAUAUUUCUAGUCAUAUGAUGUUCUAUUUUUAUUCUCUCAAGUAUUGGGUCAGAUUAGACAGUAGGUUUUUCUUGAUUCAACAUGAUGUAUUUUUUAUUCUGAUGCAUGUUAUUCUUACAUCCCUCGAUUAUUAUUUUUAAUCAAAAUCACAUCAAUGUGUUUUCAAUGUUAUAUGUAGUUUUACAACCAAUGAAUUGCAUAUGUUGUUUUUGAUUUAAUCUGCAUUGUCGCACAACCAUAAUGUAGUUUUUAAUAGUUUGUGAUGUAUUUUUCCAUGUAAUAUAUUUGCUAAAAAAUAUUUACACAAGCAAUCUGAAUGUAUUUUACAACUAUCAACUGCCAUGUGUUUUUACUGUGAUGUAAUUUUAGUGUAAAACAUAAUAGGUUUAUUACAUCCAUCUAUUUGUUUUUAUUUUUAUCUAAUACCCUCAUUUUCCUUGGUACCUAGAUUUAUAGAUCUAACUCAUUUUCUCUGCCUGUAUUUUCUUGAACACAAGAUUAACCCGCAGAUGUAAAUAAAGCCAAUAUAUUUACAUCUACGUGGCAGCAGGGAGAGGCCUGGCACUUCUUGUCGAUUACGUAGGAAAAAAAUUCAUCUACGGGUUGCAAAGCAAGCGAUGUAUUUUGUUACACUAAAAGGACGAUGGUGCAAUUGAUAUAUUUUUUUGGGUUUUGCCAACCGCAGAUGUGAAUGUAUUUUUUACUGUACAAGAUUUACACUUUUUUUUCCAUGUACUA